CAAGAAAAUGCUUCAUUUCAAAUAUUUACUCAGCCUUGUGUAUUUUAUGGUAUCUCACGGUGCAGACAACCCAUCAUAGCCUAGGGGCUGAGGCACAAGCAGCCUUCGCGGUGAGAUACCAUAUUAUGUGAAGUCAUUGCCAGGUGGUGUCAGCAAGACAGACACUAUAGGGCUGCGGGGUGAGCGGCAGUCUUGUGGAGGAGGGGGGGCAUGGAAAGCAGUGCAUAGUUUGAGAGGAGCAAAGAAAAGAGACCUGGCUUUGUGGUGCACAUGUGGCUUCUGGUUUGAGGUGUCCCUGUCCCUAUUGCCGGCAAGUGCAGGGUGCCCGCAGCACAGUCCCGCAGCACGACCCACUGGCGCGUGGAGAGCGGGAGCACUAUGACUUUUUUUUUCUUCUCCAUAUAAACCAAUAUUUACCAGUAAUCCUGUGUUUCUGUUUCUGUUUUUUGGCAGACUUUUACCAGUAAAUAUCGGUUUAUUCCUGAAACCAGAAGCCCUAAACAUACCUUUGUUUAUAAGGUCAGUUGUCAUUUUGUCUCUCUCGUUCCCCACUCCCCCCAGUACAAACUGGCAGGUGAUUGAAAGGUACCAAGCUUUCUUUCUAGUUUUCCUGCUCUGCAACUCUGGAAAUGGAGCCCGCAGGACCUAGAGCCUUCUCUUGCCUGUGUGGUUCUGAUUGCUGGCAGUUCUCUAAUACAGCUUUAAUCUGAGCAGUUGAGGCUGGUCCCACCUUACCUUCAGACGUCUUGCGGAGGACUCCUGUUACCAGUUUGGUACUCAAAAGCUACACCCCACCAUGAGAAGUCAAUUAUUUUUUAAAAGGCAGUGAUAGAUUACUGUCUCUAGUUCUAAUGGAAAAAUUAUAUUGCAAUGCAACUUUAUAAUAAAUUGUUCAUAUAUUCAUAAUUCCGUGGCAAUCCCAAAUCGGAGGACGGAUCUGUUAAAGGUAUAU
rnacentral:lncRNA from 1 species